GAGGCUGUCGUGGGCUCAGCCCGGAGGACCUGCGAGUCCCUGCUGCACGGUCACACGACCUGUGACAGGCCUCCCACUCCACUCCCAGCUGCGCGAGAUCCUGGCCAAGGCCUCUCUGGGCCACAAGAGGAAAAGCCUGUUUGGGAUCGACUGGCUGCCGGGGGCAGGGGUCUUCAGCGCAGCCUCCCCUGAACGAUCCAUGCUCCCACCGUCCCAGCUGCUGAAGCCCUUUCUUGCCUCAAGGACAGCAAGUGUGAGAGCCAUGCUGGGGAGCUGUGCCUGCCUUGUACACUGACUGGGGGACACAGAGGAGAGGCCACCCACGGUCACAGUGGACCCGGGCAGGGGACAGGGCAUUGGGCAGGUCGUGAGGCUGUGCAGACCUCUCCAGGGCUCAGCCCAGCCAUGGAGACCAGGCCCACCCAGACCACCCAGAGGCGACGCCAGUAUCCCCUGAGGGUUCUACGCAGGUUGGCUCCUGCCAGCGGCGGUGGUGGGCACGCGGAUGUCCCUGGUGGGCUGCAUCAUGGUGUCCUCAGACACACCCACGCUUCGCGCAUCGCCAGCCUCACGGGGUCCAUGGUGCACCUCAUCUUCAUCCUCAUGCUCUCCAAGAUCUACGUGGCCCGGGCGCACGUCCUGACGAGACGGGGAAGCCAAAGGCUGCUGGCAAGGGUUCCGGCUCUGCUCCCAGAAGAAGAAGGCAGGGGUUUCCCUGGAGGCCGGCAGGAGCCCUGGGAGGUGGACUACCAGAUUUUGCCCUUCGAGGGCCUAUUUGACAGUCCUGCAGUUCGGCUUCGUUACCACCUUCGGGGCCGCCUGCCCGCUCGCGCCGCUCUUCGCGCUGCUCAGCAAUUGCGUGGAGAUCCACCUGGACGCGCGCCAAUUCAUCCGCCGGGUGGCCGAGCGCGCGCUGGACAUGGGCAUCUGGUUCCGCAUGCUGGAGGCAUCCCGCACCUGGCGGGCAUCAGCAACGUGAGCUCGGGGCGCGGCGGGGGCGGUCACCUGGGAGAGCGGGCCGGCCGGGGCGCGCGGCCGCGCGCUCACUCGCCGGCGGCCCGGGCGUUCCUGCUGGCCUUCUCGGCCCCCUUCCUGCCGCGCGCCCACUACCAGUGGAGCCCGGCCAGCGACCUGCGCCGCUUCGCCGGCUUCACGCUGGCGCCACCCAGCCCGCCUUCAGCGUUGCAAGCAGCCUCCCUUGCCGGUGAGGGCGCCGGGGGCGGGGCUCCCACGGGAGGGGCGGGGCGGCAUCGGGAGGGGCGGGGCGACGGCCGGAGGGGCGGGGCGACGGCCGGAGGGGCCAGGCUGGGAGGGCCUGGCGCCCCUCACUCCCGCCUCCGGAGCUGCUCUGCGGGAGGGGAUCAGCCGGGGCGGGGUCGGAGCUCCCGGCGCCCGCGGGCUGAGCCCGGCGACGGGGAGCGGGUGGCAGGCUGA
rnacentral:lncRNA from 1 species